rnacentral:rRNA from 1 species
AGAGUUUGAUCAUGGCUCACAAUCAAGUAUGGCGGCGUGCCUAACACAUGCAAGUCGAACGAGAAAGUGGAGCUUGCUUCACGAGUACAGUGGCAAACGGGUGAGUAACACGUGAACAAUCUACCCUCGAGUGGGGAAUAACACCGCGAAAGCGGUGCUAAUACCGCAUAACAUCUCCGGGUCGCAUGGCCUGGAGAUCAAAAGCGCAAGUUGCUUGAGGAGGAGUUCGCGCCUGAUUAGCUUGUUGGUGAGGUAACGGCUCACCAAGGCUCCGAUCAGUAGCCGGCCUGAGAGGGCGAACGGCCACACUGGAACUGAGACACGGUCCAGACUCCUACGGGAGGCAGCAGUGGGGAAUUUUGCGCAAUGGGCGAAAGCCUGACGCAGCAACGCCGCGUGGAGGAUGAAGGCCCUCGGGUCGUAAACUCCUGUCAGUGGGGAAGAAUGCUUCGCAAGAAGUUUGACUGUACCCAUUGAGGAAGCCACGGCUAACUCCGUGCCAGCAGCCGCGGUAAUACGGAGGUGGCAAGCGUUUGUUCCGGAAUUACUGG